GAAAUGCGAUAAGUAAUGUGAAUUGCAGAAUUCAGUGAAUCAUCGAAUCUUUGAACGCACCUUGCGCUCCUUGGUAUUCCUUGGAGCAUGCCUGUUUGAGUAUCAUGAAAUCUUCAAAGUAAAUCUUUUGUUAACUCAAUUGGUUUCUACUUUGGUAUUGGAGGUCUUUGCAGCUUCACACCUGCUCCUCUUUGUUCAUUAGCUGGAUCUCAGUGUUAUGCUUGGUUCCACUCGGCGUGAUAAGUUAUCUAUCGCUGAGGACACUGUAAAAGGUGGCCAAGGUAAAUGCAGAUGAACCGCUUCUAAUAGUCCAUUGACUUGGACAAUACUUUUAUGAUCUGAUCUCAGAUCAGGUAGGACUACCCGCUGAACUUAAGC
rnacentral:misc_RNA from 1 species